rnacentral:lncRNA from 1 species
AAAAGGCCUUCGACGAUCUGCAGUCACGUACUCCUGGGUUUAGAGCAUGGAGAGCAAUGGGCAAAGCUGAUGCGGAUGGAGAUCAGCACAUCAGCCAGCAGGAGAUGGAGGCUCUUCUGGAUUACGCCGUGGGAAUAAAAUAUCCGGUCAAGGCAUAACAACCUUUUACUUACGUACUUUAUAAUAAGGGAUGUAUCAUGUAUAUAUGAUGCCCCAUCUUAUGAAUGUUCUCUUUACUCUACUGGGAGUGUAUGCAUUUUAUCUUUCUCUAUUUACUAGAUAUAAAGUUUAACGAUAGCAUUGAUCGAUAUAGAGCUCUUUUGGUAACCAGGUUUCAUCAAACUCUUGGUUUUGACUACUUUGAAACAUUCAGUCUUGUUGUCAAACCAACUACCAUUUGUAUUGUUCUUACUUUAGCUUUAAGCAUGGGGUGGAGUAUUCGACAACUUGAUGUACGUACAUAAUGCUUUUCUCAAUGGUAACUUAGCUGAGCAAGUCUUUAUGACUCAGCCUAAAGGGUUUGUGGACUCCUCCAAACCCAAUUAUGUGUGUAAAUUAACUAAGGUUUUUUAUGGUUUAAAACAAGCUCUGUAUGUUUGGUUCAACAAACUCAAUACUGCUCUUCUUUGGUGGGGUUUUAUGUCAAGUCAUUAAAAUAUACUUAUUAGCAUUUUCAUUGUGUUUAUUGUGACACCUACCACUACUCUAAUGAGGUGGGGUUUAGGAAUGUUAAGAUUUAGUUAGGGGUAAUUUUUUUAUUUUGGAUUUUAAAGUUGUAAUUUUCAAUGGGGGCUAUGAGUGUUGAGUUAGAUUGACAAUUUCAAACAAAAAUUUCUACAUAUCUCCUAACUCGAGUUUUUCAAAUCUUUCCUUCGAUUACUUGUGUUAUGAAGAUUAAGAUGUUGAAAUUGCUUAGAGGUCAAGGUAUAUAUUUGAGAUUGUAAAUGUAUGGAAUUGAAUCAACCAAGUUUUUAAAAUUAUUGUUUUUCUUGAACUAUUUUUUAAAAGAGUUGAGGAGGCCAAGGUAGUAGUUUUUUACUGAGUGUUUAUAUGCCCUAUUUAGGAUCAAUCCAAAUUUAAGCAAAAUUGAUCCAUCUUUUACUAGAUUUUUUUUAAGCUAUUGGAUUAAGGGUUCCCUUUCAUAUUUAAUCAAAAUGUUUCUAGUUUAAGGCAGAGACACUAGUAGUUGUUUUUUACUCCCCUUAAGCUCUCUCUCUUCAAUCAAAAUUGUGAGUGUUUGGUUUCAAGAGAAUCCUCCUUACCUUGAUUUCUAAGUAGUUUAUCAAUUGUAUUUUAUUACAAAAAUUGGUUAAUUUAUACCAUUCACUUAUCUCACAUUUUCUUAUUUGUUUGGGUUUAGGUGAAAAAUCUUGUGUAGAUUCAAGAAGAGAUCAAGAUCGAGCUUAGUAUAGACUCUAAGUACAAGCCAAAAGAUGAAGACAUAUUACUAAAAUGAAAAAGUGUUAGUCAAGUAAUUUGUGAAGAUUAGUGGACUUGAACUUAGUAAAUCUUUGUAUAUAUUAAUUGUUUUUCAUAAUGAAAACUUUUGAUCGUUGGCAAGCUUAUAGUUUUUUUUUUUUUAAGAGAUUUUUCACAUAAAAAUCUAGUGUUAUCGUCUCUCUUUUAUUCUCCUCAUUUGUUCAUUUACAUUUAUUGAUCUCAAUUUUAUGCUUAGGCAUAUAUGUCAAAUGGUGAAAAAUGAGUUUGAUCAUCCUUUGAAAAUCUUAUAUAAUUUUUUUGUUCAAGUUGAUCAUGAUAUCAAGUAAUAAUUGAAAAUGCGGUUAAAGAGUUUAUUAUUUUUGUGAAUUUAGGUUGGGGAGUGUUGAUUUAUGUGCAUGUGAAGUACAUUUAUAAAUUAUUAAAAGAGUAUUAUUGCAUUCAUGUUUGUGAUUUUUAUUUUUAUUGAAAAGUUGUUAGAAAAUAAAUAAAUAAAUCUUGGGAAACGGUAAAAAAUGAUCGAUUGUAUGUGUCAUAAGAAGUCUUAAAAUAUGUUUGAAAAUAUCUCUUCAAUGCCCUAUAAAUAUAACACAUCAUUGAGAUUCAACGACGGGGUUCAAUAAAAUUAGUCAAAAAUUAAGUAAAAAUAUAUGAAAUUUUAAGAAGUAUUUUCAAAAACUGAUCCACACGGGAGCUAUGGGCCAUGACACGUGCUAACUUUUUUUCCGUUUCACAGCAUUAGACACCUCGAUAUUACGAACAAUGGACCACCUGAUUUUUGGGCCCGUUACUUUUUGUUUGAUGGAUUCCGAUUCGGACCAAUCUCCUAAAUCCAAACCCGGCCGGUGGGUCCAAGAAUUUGUGAUUUAAUCAAGCGGCCACUGCCUAAGGGGCCGGCCACAAAGAAGUAUCAGACCACAUCCCCUGCCGUGUAUCAGAUGGAAUUGGCCGAUUCUAUCCUUCAAAAGUCGAGAAUCUAUGCUCUAUUCAAUUUGAUGAGAAGAGAGCUCACCACCCAAAAAGUGGAAGUACUUUUUUUUGGUUGUAGUCCUCCAAAAGCUCCAUGAUAAUCCCAUAUGCUGUUCUACGUCUAAAAGCUAGAAGAAAGAACUUUAACAGAAAAAUGCUUGGAACCCUUAAACAACAAGACACUUCCAUGAUUCCAUCGAAGAUAAUUUGGAAUCAUAAAAUGGUCCACAGUAGAGUCCAUAUGGAGGAAUACCCAAAAGCGAGGUCUAUAUAUAUACAUACAUAUCCUUGUUUCCUGAUCACACGCACUUCCUCAGAUAGCUAGCUAGCUAGCACUAUUGAAUCCUCCAAAGUAGUCCCUUGAAAAAACAUGCCUCUUAAUUUGAACCCUUUUCCCACCCGUGAAGGCAAGUCCACAAGUGUUCCCUACACUAAGCAACAAUUACAGGAAUUCUUCAAACAACAUGACAAAGACGGCGACAAAUUGCUGAGCAAGGUAGAGCUGAAAAAGGCCUUCGACGAUCUGCAGUCACGUAAUCCUGGGUUUAGAGCAUGGAGAGCAAUGGGCAAAGCUGAUGCGGAUGGAGAUCAGCACAUCAGCCAGCAGGAGAUGGAGGCUCUUCUGGAUUACGCUGUGGGAAUAAAAUAUCCGUUCAAGGCAUAACAACCUUUUACUUACGUGCUUUAUAAUAAGGGAUGUAUCAUGUAUAUAUGAUGCCCCAUCUUAUGAAUGUUCUCUUUACUCGACUGGGAGCAUAUGUACUUUAGCUUUCUCUAUUAACUAGACAAGUGUAAAAGUGGGAGAUGAAGCUCCGUACGUGCCUAGAUUAAAGAAUUUCCAUUUGGGGAUGCUUGGACUAAAGUGAAUCCUUCAUCAGUGCUUGUUUUGAUUUUAUAACCGUUAGUUGACAUUCAGAAACGAAACCUGUAGACCUUGUCCCGAAAGAACCUCCUCCUUUCUUUAGUCAUUCCUUCCAUCCAUUAUUGUCUUGUAAUAAAAAAUAUUUAUUCCGAAGGAUGAAAUAGUUUUCAUAUUUAAAUACUACUACUACUAAUAAUAAUAAUAAUAAUAUAUUAAAAAUUAUAUAUAUUAGAAAAUUCCUUACAAUAGAUUUUCUUUAUAUUUUAAAAUUCUUGUAAUUAGUUGUAAUUUCCUAUUUUUGUUGUAAUUCUCUAAUUCUAGGAUUGUUUCCUAUUUUUGUUGUAAUUCUCUAAUUCUAGGAUUGUUUCCUAUUUUUGUGUUUUGGGCUAAUUUGAGGAUUGUUUCAUGUUUUUGUUGUAAUCCCCUAAUUCUAGGAUUGUUUCCUAUUUUUGUGUUUUGGAUAGAUUGUUUCCUAUUUUUGUGUUUUUUGGUAACUCAAGGCAAUGCCCAUUUUUGUGUAUAUAUAUUCAUUCUUAAUCAAUGGAAAAGUUAAGUCAUUGUUUCUCAAUAAUUAUCUCUCUACUUCAACAUGGUAUCAAGAGUCUAAUCUUCUUGGGCGUAUUUUUUUUUUUUUUUUUCUUUUCCUAUAAACACUAGAAGAAAUCUACAACUAGUCUCCUCAAUGGCUUCCGGUGCAUCCUUCUCUUCCACCAACGAUCUUAUCACCAUCCAAAACUCCCAAGAUCCUCAACAUCCACUUCGUACAAUUAAUCUCUCCAAUAUCACCAAAUUGUCAUCCAUCAAUUAUCUCACAUGGAGCCUUCAAAUCCGAUCUCUUCUUGAAAGUUAUGAUCUUCAUCACUUCAUUGAUGACACUCAUUCUCCACCACCACCCACCGUCACCGUCACUGGUGUUGCAUCUCCAAAUCUGGCAUACACAACCUGGAAGCGUCAGGAUUGUCUCAUCUUUAGCGUUUUCCUUGGUGCUAUCUCUGUUUCACUACAAUCGCUUAUUUCCUGUACCACCACUUCCCUUGAUGCAUGGCAAACCUUAGCCAAUACCUAUAUCAAACAAUCUCGUGGUCAUAUUAACAAUUAAAGCGAUGUACCAAGGGCUCAAAAUCAAUUAGUGAAUAUAUGCAAGCGAUAAAGACUCGUGCUAAUGAACUUGCCCUUUUGAUGAUGAUGAUCUUAUUGAUCAGGUUCUUGAAGGACUUAGUGAUGAGUACAAAUUCGUCAUUGAUGCAAUUAAUGCCCGUGACACGUCAAUUUCUUUUGUUGAGCUCCAUGAGAAACUUCUCAACAAAGAAGCAUAUCUUCAGACCGCUCAACCAUCUCCUUUAUCACUACCAACAACGAUAAAUCCCACAACCUUUUGGAAUCAUCCAAAUUGGCGUCCACCAGCCACCACUCCACAACAACCAGGCCCUACCACUACGUUUUCUUCUCAUGAUCAACGCCAACCUAAACCUUAUUUAGGUUGUUGUCAAGCAUGCGGUAUUCAAGGACACACUGUCAAAUGAUGCCCGAUGUUUCGGCUUGUCACUAAUCAACAAUCCCCGACACCUCGUCCUCAAGGCACUCAGGCAUAUCGCCCCUCCACACCCUGGCAACCACAAGCCAAUCAUGUUGUUCUCGAUAACAACACUAAUCCUACUUGGCUGUUGGAUAGUGGAGCAUCUCACCAUGUUACGUCUGACUUGAGCAACAUCUCUCUUCAUAACCUGUAUCUAGGAUUUGAUGAUGUCAUGAUCGACGAUGGAUCGACCCUUCCAAUCACACAUACCAGUUCUACCACCAUACUUACUUUCUCUUGCACCUUUACUUUACAAAGCAUCCUUUGUGUCCCUUCCAUGCAAAAAAACUUAAUUUCAAUUUAUCAAUUUUGCAUUAAUAUCCAUGUUUCUGUUGAAUUCUCACCCUCUGUUUUUCAAGUGAAGGAUCUAAGUACGAGGGCAAUCCUUUAGAUGGGUGAACCUAAGGAUGACGUAUAUGAGUGGCCGACUACAUUCCCUUCUAUUACAUCUUCACCGAUGUUUGCAUUUUCCAAUGUCAAAACCACUUCGUCCGAGUGGCACUUUAGACUAGGUCAUCCAUCAUUAACUAUUAUGAAAAAUAUUAUCUCCAAGUGUUCUUUACCAUUGUCUAGUCUAUUAUCCUCUUCCACACAUUGUAAUGCAUGUUCAUGUAAUAAAAGUCAUAAAUUUCAUUUUCUUCUUCUACCUUAACCUCAUCAUAUCCGCUUGAACUUCUCUUUUAUGAUGUAUGGACCUCUCUUAUUUCUUCUGUUGAUGGUUUUCAGUACUAUGUUAUUUUUGUUGAUCAUUAUACACGGUAUAUUUGGUAUUAUCCACUUAAAAGGAAAUCCCAUGUGUAUGAUGUCUUUGUGCGCUUCAAGGCAUUAGUCGAAAACAAAUUUAAACACAGGAUUGUUACCCUCUAUUCAAAUAAUGGUGACAAAUAUCAAGCCCUUGAUAAUUUUCUUUUCACCAAUGGUAUAUCUCAUCUUACUACACCACCACAUACACCUGAACACAAUGGUAUUUUCAAACGACGUCAUCGCCAUAUUGUUGAAACCGGUCUAUCUCUUCUCACUCAUACAUCGAUGCCUCUAACUUAUUAGACUUACGCAUUUGCCACUGUUGUAUAUCUUAUCAACCGUAUGCCCACACCCACACUACAUCUCUCAUCUCCUUUUGACAAACUCUUUGAGUCUCCAUCCAACUACACUAAACUUUGGGUGUUCGGUUGCUUAUGUUAUCCAUGGCUUCGUCCUUAUUCUCAACAUAAACUUGACUCUCGUUCCACUCCUUGUGUUUUUCUUAGUUACUUUUCAACACAAAGUGCCUAUAUUUGUCUUGAUCUGUCCAUUUCUAAAACAUAUAUUUCUCGUCAUGUCAAAUUUCUUGAAAACUCUUUUCCCUUUACCACUCACCAAUCCCAUCUAGCUCGUCCCACCUCAAAUAUCAUUUCCAACUGGCUUUUCCCAGUCCAAACUCUACCCAUGUCAACUGGCUCACUCAAUACACCUCCACAAAGGGAUUCCUCAUGUCAACAUUCGUCACAAAAUGCCCAAUCGGUCGACUACCCCUCCUCACCAAUCGACCAUUUACCACCAGAACCAUAGAGUUUUGAGACCUCUUCUACUUCAACCACAACUCUAUCCACCCAUCCCAUGACCACUAGAGCCAAAAACAACAUUCAUAGACCCCUAACCAAGAUGAAUCUCACUAUUGUCCUUUCUCAACCAUCAGACAUUGAGUCUCAUACUGUUAACCAAGCCCUAACCGAUCCUAAAUGGAGACAAGCUAUGAAUGAUGAAUUUGAUGCUCUUGUUCGAAAUGGAACUUGGGAGCUUGUUUCAUCUACUUCUAUGCAGAAUCUUGUUGGAUGUAAGUGGGUUUUUUUCGUAUUAAACGGCUUCCUGAUGGUUCUGUUGACAAGUACAAGUACGGCUUCCUGAUGAAUUUAUACCAUUCACUUAUCUCACAUUUUCUUAUUUGUUUGGGUUUAGGUGAAAAAUCUUGUGUAGAUUCAAGAAGAGAUCAAGAUCGAGCUUAGUAUAGACUCUAAGUACAAGCCAUAAGAUGAAGACAUAUUACUAAAAUGAAAAGGUGUUAGUCAAGUAGUUUGUGAAGAUUAGUGGACUUGAACUUAGUAAAUCUUUGUAUAUAUUAAUUAUUUUUCAUAAUGAAAACUUUUGAUCAUUGGCAAGCUUAUAGUUUUUUUUUUUUAAGAGAUUUUCCACAUAAAAAUCUAGUGUUAUCGUCUCUCUUUUAUUCUCCUCAUUUGUUCAUUUACAUUUAUUGAUCUCAAUUUUAUGCUUAGGCAUAUAUGUCAAAUGGUGAAAAAUGAGUUAAAAUGAGUUUGAUCAUCCUUUAAAAAUCUUAUAUAAUUUUUUUGUUCAAGUUGAUCAUGAUAUCAAGUAAUAAUUGAAAAUGCGUUAAAGAGUUUAUUAUUUUUGUGAAUUUAGGUUGGGGAGUGUUGAUUUAUGUGUAUGUGAAGUACAUUUAUAAAUUAUUAAAAGAGUAUUAUUGCAUUCAUGUUUGUGAUUUUUAUUUUUUAUUGAAAAGUUGUUAGAAAAUAAAUAAAUAAAUAAAUCUUGGAAAACGGUAAAAAAUGAUCGAUUGUAUGUGUCAUAAGUAGUCUUAAAAUUUGUUUGAAAACAUCUCUUCAAUGCCCUCUAAAUAUAACACAUCAUUGAGAUUCAACGACGGGGUUCAAUAAAAUUAGUCAAAAAUUAAGUAAAAAUAUAUGAAAUUUUAAGAAGUAUUUUCAAAAACUGAUCCACACGGGAGAUAUGGGCCAUGACACAUGCUAACUUUUUUUCCGUUUCACAGCAUUAGACACCUCGAUAUUACGAACAAUGGACCACCUGAUUUUUGGGCCCGUUACUUUUUGUUUGAUGGAUUCCGAUUCGGACCAAUCUCCUAAAUCCAAACCCGGCCGGUGGGUCCAAGAAUUUGUGAUUUAAUCAAGCGGCCACUGCCUAAGGGGCCGGCCACAAAGAAGUAUCAGACCACAUCCCCUGCCGUGUAUCAGAUGGAAUUGGCCGAUUCUAUCCUUCAAAAGUCGAGAAUCUAUGCUCUAUUCAAUUUGAUGAGAAGAGAGCUCACCACCCAAAAAGUGGAAGUACUUUUUUUUGGUUGUAGUCCUCCAAAAGCUCCAUGAUAAUCCCAUAUGCUGUUCUACGUCUAAAAGCUAGAAGAAAGAACUUUAACAGAAAAAUGCUUGGAACCCUUAAACAACAAGACACUUCCAUGAUUCCAUCGAAGAUAAUUUGGAAUCAUAAAAUGGUCCACAGUAGAGUCCAUAUGGAGGAAUACCCAAAAGCGAGGUCUAUAUAUAUACAUACAUAUCCUUGUUUCCUGAUCACACGCACUUCCUCAGAUAGCUAGGUAGUUCUCCAAAGUAGUCCCUUGAAAAACAUGCCUCGUAAUUGGAACCCUUUUCCCAAAGAUGAAUGCAAGUGCACAGAUAUUCCCUACACUAAGCAGCAGUUACAUGAAUUCUUCAAACAACAUGACAAAAACGGCAACAAUUUGCUGAGCAAGGAAGAGCUGAAAAAGGCCUUCGACGAUCUGCAGUCACGUAAUCCUGGGUUUAGAGCAUGGAGAGCAAUGGGCAAAGCUGAUGCGGAUGGAGAUCAGCACAUCAGCCAGCAGGAGAUGGAGGCUCUUCUGGAUUACGCUGUGGGAAUAAAAUAUCAGAUCAAGGCAUAACAACCUUUCACUUACGUGCUUUAUAACAAGGGGUCAACUAUAUAUGUAUGAUGCCCCAUCUUAUGAAUGUUCUCUUUACUCGACUGGGAGCAUAUGUACUUUAGCUUUCUCUAUUUACUAGAUCAGUGUAAAAAUGGGAGAUGAAGCUCCGUACGUGCCUAGAUUAAAGAAUUUCCAUUUGGGGAUGCUUGGACUAAAAUGAAUCCUUCAUCAGUGCUUGUUUUGAUUUAAUUUAUAACCGUUACUUGACAUUCAGAAACGAAACCUGUAGACCUUGUCCCGAAAGAACCUCCUCCUUUCUUUAGUCAUUCCUCCCAUCCAUUAUUGUCUUAUAAUAAAAAAUAUUUUUCAAAGGAUG